AGCCCGUGCCCCAAGGAGAUUUCAUUCUCCUGGGGAAGCAACACAUGGUAUACACACAAAACAAUGUACAGUUAUUUGGAGGUGUUAUUUGCACUCACAACGGAAGGAAUGAGGAAAGGUGAUGGAGAUGGGGGAAAUGGAAAAUAAGCUGAGUUUUGAAAGGAGUCAGGGCUUCCAAGAGGUGGAGGCCAGGAGAAGCAGCGUCCAAGGCACUACGGACAGCGUGGGCAAAGGAGUGGAGAUGGGAAAAUGGAACAUCGACUAGCCCAGGGGUAAUAGAGAGCCUGAAUGUGGGGACGAGAGCAUCUAUUAUGUGCCAGGCCACAGAGCUGGAAAUACAAGGACAGUUUGUUGACUGACCAACAUGGUGUUUCUUCAGUCUUGGUACAGGAAGCAGUCUCCCUCCAGGUCCUCCCCAUCUGGCCCCUGGACAACUCUGACCAUCCCCUUGGCAGAACAUCAAGUCCACCUUCAAAUAAAUUGUUGAUCUAUUUGGUUUCCCCUUCUA